GCCUGGAUAGCUCAGUUGGUUAGAGCAUGGUGCUGCUGAUGCUAUGGUUGCAGGUUCGAUCCCUGUAUGGGGCA